rnacentral:misc_RNA from 1 species
GAUGAAGAACGUAGCGAAAUGAGAUAAGUAGUGUGAAUUGCAGAAUUCAGUGAAUCAUCGAAUCUUUGAACGCACAUUGCGCCCCUUGGUAUCCCGAGGGGCAUGCCUGUUCGAGCGUCAUUUCACCACUCAAGCCUGGCUUGGUGUUGGGCGACGUCCCCUUUGGGGACGCGCCUCGAAACGCUCGGCGGCGUGGCACCGGCUUUAAGCGUAGCAGAAUCUUUCGCUUUGGAAGUCGGGGCCCCGUCUGCCGGAAGACCUACUCGCAAGGUUGACCUCGGAUCAGGCAGGGAUACCCGCUGAACUUAAGCAUAUCAAUAAGCGGAGGA